GACAACUACCAAGGCUGAUAGGCCAAGGGAGGACAUAGAGGGGGUCAGGAUAGCUCUUGAUGCAGCCAAAAAGGUCCUAGGAACCAUUGGGCCACCAGCUCUGGUCUCAGAAACUUUGGCCUGGGAAAUCCUCCCACAAGCAACGCCAGUUUCUAAGCAACAAUCUCAGGGUUCCAUUGGAGAAACAACUCCAGCUGCAGGCAUGUGGACCUUGGGAACUCCAGCUGCAGAUGUGUGGAUCUUGGGAACUCCAGCUGCAGAUGUGUGGACCAGCAUGGAGGCAGCAUCUGGGGAAGGAAGCGCUGCAGGGGACCUAGAUGCUGCCACUGGAGACAGAGGUCCCCAAGCAACACUGAGCCAGACCCCGGCAGUAGGACCCUGGGGACCCCCUGGCAAGGAGUCCUCCGUGAAGCGGUAACCCCAGGCACCUUCUCCCGGUUGGGGGGCCCCACAUCUGCCUCAUCCCUGGCAUGCAAGGGAGGCCCCUCUCCCUCUGCUCACUUCUCUCCCUUUGUACCCACAAGACAGUGACAUACACAUCGGAUGCCCUCCCUCACCCAAGGGGCCUUGCUGUGAGAACGCUCCCUGAGUAUUUCCAUGUGGUUUUCAAGUGAUAUCUAAAUGAUAGAAAGACAAUAUUUAGGCUGGAACCUUCAUUAGGACUUUCUGUUUUUAAAGAUAAAGAAUAGGCGCUCCGGAGAGAGGGGGUGAUGCACUGAAGCCACAAGGAAAGGUUGUGGCAGAGCCCAGUGCUGAGGCUGGAGUCGCUUGCUCCCACCUAGUCCUCUUUCUCACUGGGAGGCAUCGCAGGGCCCACACACAGAUGGGUGGAAGAGGGAAAAGGAUUCAGGCUUGGAAGCCUGAAGACAGAGAUUCUAGCCCCAAGCUCUGACACUAACCAGCCAUGGGAACCAGGGCUGCCCAUUUGCUUUGGCCUCAGCUCCCCAAUCUGUAAAGUAAGGAUGUGGGUAAAUGGUCUUUAAUCUUCUGCCCAGCUCCAACCUCCUCUCCCCUGUGCUCUUUCCACCCCCACUGUAGUACUUUUCCAGAAGAUGAAAGCAGCUCUCGGACCCUGGCUCCUGUCUCUACCAUGCUGGCCCUGUUUAUGCUUAUGGCUCUGGUUCUAUUGCAAAGGAAGCUCUGGAGAAGGAGGACCUCUCAGGAGGCAGAAAGGGUCACCUUAAUUCAGAUGACACAUUUUCUGGAAGUGAACCCCCAAGCAGACCAGCUGCCCCAUGUGGAAAGAAAGAUGCUCCAGGAUGACUCUCUUCCUGCUGGGGCCAGCCUGACUGCCCCAGAGAGAAAUCCAGGACCCUGAGGGACAGA
rnacentral:lncRNA from 1 species